UACGUAGGCAGCAAGCGUUGUCCGGAUUCAUUGGGCGUAAAGAGCGUGUAGGCGGUUUGGUAGGUCCGCUGUGAAAACUCGAGGCUCAACCUCGAGACGCCGGUGGAAACCAUCAGGCUAGAGUCCGGAAGAGGAGAGUGGAAUUCCUGGUGUAGCGGUGAAAUGCGUAGAUAUUGCUCGGAAGGCCAACGGCGAAGGCAGGUUACUGGUGCGCAACUGACACUGAGGCACGAAAGCGUGGGGAGCAAACAGG
rnacentral:rRNA from 1 species